rnacentral:rRNA from 1 species
GAUGAACGCUAGCGGCAGGCUUAAUACAUGCAAGUCGAGGGGCAGCAGUUUUGUAGCGAUACAGAAGCUGGCGACCGGCAAACGGGUGCGGAACACGUACGCAACCUUCCUUUAACUGGAAGAUAGCCCACCGAAAGGUGGAUUAAUACUCCAUAAUAUAUUGAAGAGGCAUCUUUUUGAUAUUAAAGCUCCGGCGGUUAAAGAUGGGCGUGCGUCUGAUUAGGUAGUUGGCGGGGUAACGGCCCACCAAGCCUUCGAUCAGUAGCUGAUGUGAGAGCAUGAUCAGCCACACGGGCACUGGGACACGGGCCCGACUCCUACGGGAGGCAGCAGUAAGGAAUAUUGGUCAAUGGACGCAAGUCUGAACCAGCCAUGCCGCGUGGAGGAUGAAGGCCCUCUGGGUUGUAAACUUCUUUUCUUUGGGACGAAACCCCUGUUUCUACGGGGACUGACGGUACCAGAGGAAUAAGCACCGGCUAACUCCGUGCCAGCCGCCGCCGUAA